GUUUCUGUUGUUGUUUUCUUUUCAGGCAGCUUUGAACAUGGUGACCAGAUGUCUAUCCUCUGAUCUCUUAGGCGAAGGCAUUUUAUGUGUGUCCCUGCAUCCUGGAUGGGUGAAGACUGAUAUGGGUGGACCCAAAGCCCACCUGACCAAAGAAGAGAGCAUCGCUGGGAUCCUUAAUGUGAUGUCAAACUUGUCAGAAAAGGACACCGGCGGGUAUGUGUGUUACACUGGAGAGACUCUGCCAUGGUGAAGUGAGUGAGUGGCAUGUAACGAGAGCUCGUAAUAAAAAUGAAACUGUGCACAAA